rnacentral:rRNA from 1 species
UGCUAUUGGGAUUCGACUAAGCCAUGCGAGUCUAUGGUUUCGGCCAUGGCGGCCGGCUCAUUAACACGUGGUUAACAUACCCUCAGGUCCGGGAUAACCUUGGGAAACUGAGGAUAAUACCCCAUAGAACAAGCAGUCUGGAACGAUUCUUUUCCGAAAGCAUAUGCGCCUGAGGAUUGGACUGCGCUCGAUUAGGUAGUUGGUGGGGUAAUGGCCCACCAAGCCUACGAUCGCUACGUGCCUUGAGAGAGCACGCCCGGACAUGGGGACUGAGACACGGCCCCAGGCCCUACGGGGCGCAGCAGGCGCGAAACCUCCGCAAUGCACGACAGUCGACGGCGGGAUCCCAAGUGCUCAUGCACAGCAUGGGCUUUUAUCAAGUGUACACAGCUUGAGGAAUAAGGGCUGGGCAAGUUCGGUGCCAGCAGCCGCGGUAACACCGACGGCCCGAGUCGUGGCCACUUUUAUUGGGCCUAAAGCGUCCGUAGCCGGUCCAGUAAGUCCUUGUUUAAAUCCUGCGGCUUAACCGCAGGACUGGCAGGCAUACUGCUGGACUUGGGACCGGGAGAGCACAAGCGUACUUCAGGGGUAGCGGUGAAAUGUGUUGAUCCUUGACGGACCACCUAUGGCGAACGCACUUGUCUGGAACGGCUCCGACGGUGAGGGACGAAAGCCAGGGGCGCGAACCGGAUUAGAUACCCGGGUAGUCCUGGCCGUAAACUUUGCGAACUAGGUGUUAGGUGGGCCCCGUGCCCAUCUAGUGCCGAAGCGAAGCCGUUAAGUUCGCCGCCUGGGGAGUACGGUCGCAAGACUGACACUUACAGGAAUUGGCGGGCCAGCACCACAACGGGUGGAGCCUGCGGUUUAAUUGGAUUCAACGCCGGGCAUCUCACCAGGAGCGACAGCAUGAUGACGGCCAGGUUGACGACCUUGCCUGAAGCGCUGAGAGGUGCUGCAUGGCCAUCGUCAGCUCGUACCGCGAGGCGUCCUGUUAAGUCAGGUAACGAGCGAGACCCGUGCCCUAUGUUGCUACUUUUUCCUCCGGGAGAAUGGCACUCAUAGGGGACCGCUGGCGCUAAGUCAGAGCAAGGAGCGGGCAACGAUAGGUCCGCAUGCCCCGAAUCUCCUGGGCUACACGCGGGCUACAAUGGCUAGGACAAUGGGCCGCAACCCUGAAUAGGGACGCAAAUCUCCUAAACCUAGUCGUAGUUCGGAUCGUGGGCUGUAACUCGCCCACGUGAAGCUGGAAUCCGUAGUAAUCGCAGUUCAUAAUACUGCGGUGAAUGUGUCCCUGCUCCUUGCACACACCGCCCGUCACACCACCCGAGUUGGGUUUAAGUGAGGCCUUGGCCUUUGGCUAGGGUCGAACUUGGGCUCAGCGAGGCCGGUGAAGUCGUAACAAGGUAGCCGUAGGGGAACCUGCGGCUGGAUCACCUCCU